CUCAUUCUUCCACGCAUGCAAUUUCACCAGAGCACACAGCAACAUCAGCCGCCGCUAGCUUGGAGCAGCAACAGUCGCCAACUUCAGAGCAACACCACUGUCACCCAACAACAGUGCCGUCAGCAAGCGCCCACAAAUCUCCAAUUUUAAAGGUUAGGGUUCCUGAAAAAGUUUGCGAUUUUGAUUUUUUAAAUUUUUUUAUAUAGUUUGUGUGUGAUCUUACUGGCCUAUGCUGUGCGAUUUGAUCAUUUGAAUGAUUACUUGAGGGACCUACUGUGCUUACAAAACUGUUGUGCAUAAUAUAUAGAUUUUAUAUAGUUUCGGUGUAACUGCAAAUUACAAAACUGCUGUGCAUUAGUAGGUUAUAGACAUAUAAAUGCCUAUUUAGUAAUUACACUAGUGUGAAAGUGUGAAGUCACGGUCCCUAUAAAAGCCUAAUUAUUGUUUGUAUAGUAUGUUCAUAUAAUUAUAAGAAGUCAAGACAUAUACUUUCACGGUCCCUAUACAAGUGUGAAGUCAAGACAUAUAAAUGCCUAAUUAUAUAGUUUACAUAUUAUGUUCAUGUGGCCUAAUCAUAUAGUUUUGUUUAUAUAUUAUUUAGGCAUUGAAGCAUAUGCAUUGAAAUGCUUGUAUUUUGAUUUAGAUGAAGAGGAUUUGGAUGAAUGAUUGAUUUCUUUAUUUGUAUUACCUUUUGAAUAAUGAAUUUGGAUGAUAUCACCUUUGAAUGAUGAAUUUAGAUGAUAUUAUCUUUUGAAUGACUAUGAAUUUGAAUGAUAAAUUGAGAAUAGAUGUUUAUUUUACAGAGUAUUAUUUUUUUUAUACAAUUAUAUGUUUAAUAUAUAAAACAUAUAUAUUUAAAAAAUUUAAUCCCGUGAAAGUUCGCCUCAUGUCUAGGUGGGACUAUCCCUCGAAUGCCUCGCCCACGCCUCGGCCUUUUAAUACAUUGGCUGUGCAAAUGAUUACACAUGACAUCAUUUUAGUUAUUUUCCUGGAGUCGAGUAUGUUAUGGACUGCCAAAAUAAUUCUUGUUGUUGUCCAUACAUCCCUCGAAUGAAAUAUUUCAAAAUGACCAAAUGGGUUUUUUACAUGGGAUCUAGCGCUUUUACUGCAACCCCGGUGUUUAAAAAUAUAUGUAUCGAUGGAAAUAUCGAUAUACAAAUUUGUAGAAAUAUUGAUGGAUAAAUCCAUAUAGAUUUCUAUA